rnacentral:rRNA from 1 species
GCUUAACACAUGCAAGUCGAACGGUCUCUUCGGAGAUAGUGGCGGACGGGUGAGUAACGCGUAAGAAUCUACCUAUAGGUUCGGGACAACAGUUAGAAAUGACUGCUAAUACCGGAUAUGCCUUCGGGUGAAAGUUUUAAUGCCUGUAGAUGAGCUUGCGUCCGAUUAGCUAGAUGGAGUGGUAACGGCACACCAUGGCGACGAUCGGUAACUGGUCUGAGAGGAUGACCAGUCACACUGGAACUGAGACACGGUCCAGACUCCUACGGGAGGCAGCAGUGGGGAAUUUUCCGCAAUGGGCGAAAGCCUGACGGAGCAAUACCGCGUGAGGGACGAAGGUCUGUGGAUUGUAAACCUCUUUUGUUAGGGAAGAUAAUGACGGUACCUAACGAAUAAGCAUCGGCUAACUCCGUGCCAGCAGCCGCGGUAAGACGGAGGAUGCAAGCGUUAUCCGGAAUUAUUGGGCGUAAAGCGUACGUAGGCUGUUAGAUAAGUCUGUUGUCAAAGAGCGAGGCUUAACCUCGUAAAGGCAAUGGAAACUGUCUGACUAGAGAGAGAAAGGGGCAGGAGGAAUUCCAGGUGUAGCGGUGAAAUGCGUAGAUAUCUGGAAGAACACCAGUGGCGAAAGCGUCCUGCUGGAUCUCAACUGACGCUGAAGUACGAAAGCUAGGGGAGCGAAUGGGAUUAGAUACCCCAGUAGUCCUAGCCGUAAACGAUGGGUACUAGGUGUUGGCCGUAUCGACCCGGUCAGUGCCGUAGCUAACGCGUUAAGUACCCCGCCUGGGGAGUACGGUCGCAAGAUUGAAACUCAAAGGAAUUGACGGGGGCCCGCACAAGCGGUGGAGUAUGUGGUUUAAUUCGAUGCAACGCGAAGAACCUUACCAAGGCUUGACAUGUCGUGAAUCCUCUUGAAAGGG